rnacentral:rRNA from 1 species
UACGUAGGGCGCAAGCGUUGUCCGGAAUUAUUGGGCGUAAAGAGCUCGUAGGCGGUCUGUUACGUCCGCUGUGAAAACCCAGGGCUUAACCCUGGGCUUGCAGUGGAUACGGGUAGACUAGAGGCAGGUAGGGGAGAAUGGAAUUCCCGGUGUAGCGGUGAAAUGCGCAGAUAUCGAGAGGAACACCUGCGGCGAAGGCGGGUUGCUGGGCCGACACUGACGCUGAUGCGCGAAAGCCAGGGGAGCGAACGGG